AAAUGUGUAAAGAUCUGCUUUUGUUUCCUACACUCACCCACUCCAAACAUUAACCUCAUACCAACCUCCCACUGUACACAAGGGCCACAGGAAGCCUGGACAAUGCAGAAGAGCUAAAGGAAGUGGAUAGGCUCUAGCUUGGGCCACAGGGUGGCCCCACAGCCUAUCCAGUGUACCCUGAGCAGCCAAUCACCAAGAAAAUGAAGGCACUGUUCCACGCAGUACGGACACAACAGUGAACAAAAUAGACAAACGCUCUGCUCUGGUAAAGCUUCAUUCAGUGAAGGAGAACAACGGUCAACAGAAGGUGGAAUCUCUGCUGUGCCGUGCGGUACAGAGACAGAAUUGCAGCUGGUAAGCUUGUACAGCAUUCUAACGGUGGGCCUAAACUGAACACGUUCUUUCCUCUGGCUACUGCUCAGAAGUUCUGACAUCUGAGACCACCGUGGGGAGCUUGGUGAGAAGUCUACCUGCCCGUUUGCUUGGCCCUUUGCCAUUAUCGAGUUAGGGGCAUGGCAGGCCCUUCUCUCAUCCCAGUAGCACUCUGUGUUCCAGAAAUGUCAAGCACCUCCUCUGCAUCUGGCACUGUCCCCAUUUUCUCUGGUAGUGAAUCCUUUCCCUGGUUUUAUAGCCUUAGGUCAUUUCAGUGGGAGUUUAUGAGGCAGAAGAAUUCAACAAAUUCAUCUUGCCAUCUCUAACCUGAGUUCAAACAAACAUGGUAACUGGUGGUCAAGAGAGGUAGCUCCUAAACCCUUGUGUUACUUCCCAUGAUUCCAGUUACCUGAAAAGAUAAAGGAGAACGUUCCAGAAAUAACUAACUAAUGCUUUUCUCAUAUCCUACUAUAUUAUUAGUUACUACUAUUGCUAAUCUCAGCAAGCUUAACUUUAAAUCAAACCUCAUCAUGGAUACUCAUACAUAGGGGAAAACAUAGGAGAUAGAAAGUUUAGUGCUAGCCACUGUUUCAGGCCUUCAUGGGUGUCUUGGGAAAAGUCCUCUAGGGAAUAGGAACUAUUGUAGACAGCUGUGCUGCCUUGGGGACAUUGAGAAGCUGGAGUUUGUCUGGGGUCAGAUCUGUCAAUAAAGAAUGUGCUGAAGAAGGGUUCCAAACCCCUGC
rnacentral:lncRNA from 1 species